GACUAUUCCGUAGCACCCACCCGAGUAGUCGUCCUCGUCCCUGCACUGCACGUCGAUCUCAGCUAUAUUAGCAAAGGUGCUGUAAAGUUGUUAGCAGUGUGUCAGCUUGGUGACCUGCCACAGAGUACCUUUGUGACGUCAUUCGCUAUGCUCCAGAUCGGAUGGGUGGUGCAGGACGCCCGACGACUCUCAUCUAUAUACAAUUCCCAGCAGCAGACAACUCCAACAUUCUGUAUUUAAUAUUUGAAUAUAUAUUUUUUAAUUUUCUGUCUGUGUGCCAAGGUGAGCUAUGCACCUGUUUAUUGUUACCUGCUGUGUCUCAUGUUAAGAAAACAUGUAUGGUCAAAAUAAAAACACUAGCUUUUAGUGUACAGGAUGGAUGUGAAUGUUAGUGAACAAAACAGGCCUGCUGUAUAUCAGAUGAUGUGUAUAUUCUUAAUGUUUUUAUGCUUACAAAGCUCUACUCAAGUUUCUUUUAAAGUUUUUGCUUGCAUUUCCUACACAAAUGUCAAAAUAAUAAAAAAUCUUUGUGCACUGAUA